GGAGUAGAAAAAGAAUAUGUCGGUUAUGAUUUAGCUAGAGACUAUAAUGUCCAGGUUCCGAUUGAUGCUGCCAAUCUAAGAAACAGAAACCAAACUGCCCCUUCAGGUGCCAAAGACGUAUCGACAAAAUCAGACAAAGGAAAGAACUUAAAAGUUCCACAGAAUGGUUUGUCAAAAAGGAACAAGGAUGUGGUGACGAGGAAAGGAACAUCCUCU
rnacentral:misc_RNA from 1 species